rnacentral:lncRNA from 1 species
ACAUUUAGCCCCAGUCCAACUUGGGAAUUCUAAACACUUGGAACAAUUAUACUCAGUUUAGUCUAGUCCUUUCUUUGGAGUUGAAACCAGUUGAAACUCCUGCUGCACUCUAAAGAGCUCUUGUCCAGGAGAUGCAGCCUGUGAUUCUUGUUGGAACACACAUCUGUUUCUGGCUGGCCAAAUCCAAAAGUGGAAUCCCAAUUGCAGUUUUCAUGGGUGGCAGAAUUUCAACUUCAUUAUAAUGUAACCACCUGGGUUGCCUUCACUUUUCUUUUUCUUCUUAAGGAUGAAAUAGGCAGAUAAGUAUUCAUUCAGCUAUUAAAUUACAUUUCCAUCCUGUAACGUCUUAUUUCCUUUUUCUCUGGUGAAAUAUAUUGACUUGAUGGAUUAUCUGCAGUGUCAUUUCUUAUAUAGACCUCACAAUUUUAACUUUCAGAGUUUCUUCCAGUCAUUUGCGGAUGUGGUUUUAGCUUUGUAAGAUUUUAUUUUACCCCAAACAACAAACAGCAAAACAAAAAUUACUAGAUGGUUUUGAUUUAACAACAAUCUCUUGGAUGAAAAGUAAGCAAGAUAUUUAAAUGAAUGGAAAGAAAUUGACUUCUUAAAAAAUUGAAUUGGAGCCUGAAACUUGUGAAACAUAAAAAAUAAAAUGCUUCUCUGGCAAACAAGUUGUAAUAUGAUUAGCUUGAACCGGGAAGCUGAAAGUAUUAUUCUGGCCACCAGGGGGAGCACAUAUUGUUCCAGGA